AUGAUGUUCACACCUUUGGUUGAUCCUAGUGAGCAUGCUGAGUUAGUUGCUGAUCUACACAUGACCUGGUCUAGCCGUUGGUCAGAGUCAUAUGGUGUGAGGGUGCCAAAAGGAAUUGGCAAACUAAAAGAGCUACAAAUACUAGAGGUUGUGGACAUUGGACGAACUGGAUGCAAAACAAUUAAAGAGCUAGGUGAGCUUGUGCAGCUGAGAAAACUAAGCAUGGUAAUAGAAGGGGCCACCAAGCGAAAAUUCAAGGUACUUUGUGAAUCCAUUACGAAGCUCACUUCCCUCCGCUCUCUUGAAGUGGACGGUUCACUCAAGUGGCUGCAUGUUGUUUCCUGUCCUCCUCCCCAGUUGAGGACCCUGAAGUUGGGUGGAUGCCUUGGAGAUAUUCCUGGCUGGUUUGGCAAUCUGAUGCAUUUAGUCAAGCUUUACUUAUGGGAUUCCAAACUAAAGGAAGAAGGAAAAAAUCAUGGAAAUACUAGGUUCACUUCCCAGCCUCAUGAAACUUCGUCUUGGACUGGACUCUUAUAUUGGGGAGAAGUUAGCGUUCAAAACAGGAGCAUUUGCAAAUCUCAAGAAACUUGA
rnacentral:rRNA from 1 species